AGACGGAGGGUCCUAGCGUUGUUCGGAAUGACUGGGCGUAAAGGGUACGUAGGCGGUUUGGUCAGUUAGAUGUGAAAGCCCAGGGCUCAACCUUGGAACUGCAUUUAAUACUGCCAAACUUGAGAUCGGAAGAGGAAAGCGGAAUUUCUAGUGUAGAGGUGAAAUUCGUGGAUAUUAGAAGGAACAUCAGAGGCGAAGGCGGCUUUCUGGUCCGAUACUGACGCUGAGGUACGAAAGCGUGGGGAGCAAACAGGAUUAGAAACCCUAGUAGUCC
rnacentral:rRNA from 1 species